GGAGCAAGUGCAUUAAGGGCUCGGUGACAGCAGUUGCCAUGCGUUUCUGAGUGCUGUCAAGCAGGAUCUUCAAUCACAGUGUGCUUUGUGCUCUGCAUUCUAAAAAUGGAAAUGAAACCACCAGCUCCUCCCCAGACUGUGAGGCUUGAUGGACGCGAGCUUAAUGAACCCAGGAUAAAGGAAUUAGCCCAAGCAGAAGGCAGAAAAAGCAUUAAGAGGGUGUGCAACUAAAUUCUCCUCCUCCUGAGUGAACACUGGACUGAAGGAUUCAUUUCCAAUGAAGAGACUAUGGAAAGGGGACAGCUGUAACUUUGCGCUGGAGGAACCUGGCAGGCAUCACUUUAAUCAAGCCAUCAAGGGUUAAUACCGCCAGUAGAUGUCACGAGUGCCAUGAUGUGUGAUGGAAAGGUCCCUGCAUUUCUGUCCUCUUCCUCCCCACACCCAUAGCCCUAAUCACGAGAAAACAUCAGACAAACUCCAAUUCAGGGACGUGUUACAAAUACCUGGCUGGUACUCUUCAAAAGUGUCAAGGUCGUGAAAACAAGAAUGAGACGCUGUCACAGAUGGGAGGAUAGUCAGGAGGCGUGUUGACAAGCCCCAGCAUGGUGUCCUGGACUGGAUCCUGAGGCAGGAAAAGGACGUUAUUGGAAAAAACCAGCGAGGCAGGAAUAAAGUCUGUCGUUGAGUUAAUA